rnacentral:lncRNA from 1 species
CUUUGAUUCCUUUGUACAAGCUUGGCCUAUUUUAUACUCUUUCCUAGCAUUUCCUACCCAGUGGUCCUCACUGAGUUACACCAUGCCUCUCCCUGGUCUGCUUGGCACCUUGAUUUUCAUCUAACUUAAUAUUUAGAAUUGCCAACAGGUUUUACCAUCUCAUAGUAGGAGCUGCUUGGAAGAGAUACUCAAAAUGAAAAACAUCUCGUCAUGAAGAACAUGAGAAUCAACUCUCAACACAAAAGAAAAUAAAAUCUAGAGGUGGAGACAAAGCAGUCAGAUAGUCACCCAGUUUCUGGUACAUGCCAAGUACAACUUCUCUCUUCAGAGAAACACCUAAUCUUCAACCACCACCACAGACUCCUUGAUUGGAUUGUCAGCCUUUCCUUAGACAGAGUGGGCAGGAAUGCAAGGCUGGGAAUUGGAAGAAUAAAGACCUAAUCUAACAAAUGGUUUCAGUAAUGCUUGAGAUCUCAGGUGAGGUUUGAAUUUAAAUUACAUAAUCCCUAAGAUUCUACAGAGGUAGUGUAGCACACUGUUGAAGAUUACAGAGUUUAGAGACAGCUAACUUGAGUUCAAAUCUCCCAGUUCUGACACUUAAUAGCUGUAUAACUUUAGGCAGGUUGCUUAAAGCCUCUGUUUCCUCACCUAGCAAAUGAAAUAAAAAUAACACCUAC